GUUGGAGUGGCAGAGCUCGGUUAUUGCAAAAGGCCUAAGCCCUUUGCACAGAGGUUCAAAUCCUCUCUCUAACU
rnacentral:tRNA from 1 species